UCAGCUCCAGGCAGUUGCUGAUCUCCUAUAAUACUUGAGUUGUCAAAGUAUGGACUAAAAUAUCUGCCAGGUUCAUCUGGGCUUGUGCCAAAGGAUAAAAAAGAGAGAAUUUCUACUCACUGGUCCUGUUUCCCCUCUGAAGUCACCCUGAUGCAUAAGGAUUCCAAGAUAAAGAAUAUUUGUAGCCACCUAGAAGACUCCUAUGUGCCUCCAUUCAGUGAACACUCACCCGUCAAUGACAGCCACUAUUCUAGUGAGUUUGCCUGUUUUUGAACUUCAGAGACAUUCAGAGUGCGAGUCGGGAGGGACAGAGAAGGAGAGGAAGAC